GUUAAGCGACUAAGCGUACACGGUGGAUGCCCUGGCAGUCAGAGGCGAUGAAGGACGUGCUAAUCUGCGAUAAGCGUCGGUAAGGUGAUAUGAACCGUUAUAACCGGCGAUUUCCGAAUGGGGAAACCCAGUGUGAUUCGUCACACUAUCAUUAACUGAAUCCAUAGGUUAAUGAGGCGAACCGGGGGAACUGAAACAUCUAAGUACCCCGAGGAAAAGAAAUCAACCGAGAUUCCCCCAGUAGCGGCGAGCGAACGGGGAGCAGCCCAGAGCCUGAAUCAGUGUGUGUGUUAGUGGAAGCGUCUGGAAAGGCGUGCGAUACAGGGUGACAGCCCCGUACACAAAAAUGCACAUACUGUGAGCUCGAUGAGUAGGGCGGGACACGUGGUAUCCUGUCUGAAUAUGGGGGGACCAUCCUCCAAGGCUAAAUACUCCUGACUGACCGAUAGUGAACCAGUACCGUGAGGGAAAGGCGAAAAGAACCCCGGCGAGGGGAGUGAAAAAGAACCUGAAACCGUGUACGUACAAGCAGUGGGAGCACGCUUAGGCGUGUGACUGCGUACCUUUUGUAUAAUGGGUCAGCGACUUAUAUUCUGUAGCAAGGUUAACCGAAUAGGGGAGCCGAAGGGAAACCGAGUCUUAACUGGGCGUUAAGUUGCAGGGUAUAGACCCGAAACCCGGUGAUCUAGCCAUGGGCAGGUUGAAGGUUGGGUAACACUAACUGGAGGACCGAACCGACUAAUGUUGAAAAAUUAGCGGAUGACUUGUGGCUGGGGGUGAAAGGCCAAUCAAACCGGGAGAUAGCUGGUUCUCCCCGAAAGCUAUUUAGGUAGCGCCUCGUGAAUUCAUCUCCGGGGGUAGAGCACUGUUUCGGCAAGGGGGUCAUCCCGACUUACCAACCCGAUGCAAACUGCGAAUACCGGAGAAUGUUAUCACGGGAGGCACACGGCGGGUGCUAACGUCCGUCGUGAAGAGGGAAACAACCCAGACCGCCAGCUAAGGUCCCAAAGUCAUGGUUAAGUGGGAAACGAUGUGGGAAGGCCCAGACAGCCAGGAUGUUGGCUUAGAAGCAGCCAUCAUUUAAAGAAAGCGUAAUAGCUCACUGGUCGAGUCGGCCUGCGCGGAAGAUGUAACGGGGCUAAACCAUGCACCGAAGCUGCGGCAGCGACGCUUAUGCGUUGUUGGGUAGGGGAGCGU
rnacentral:rRNA from 1 species